UCUGUCCCAAACAAACAGAAAAAUCAUCUUUCUCGAGACAAUUAGACAAAUAUUAACGUAGUACUGAUUAUGAAUGUAGAUGAAUAACAAACAAAUCGCCUUUCAUUUCUGAAUGGCUUUAAUAUCUUUAAAAGUUGAUUAUCAUAAGUCUGCGUUUCUGCAUUGUAUCUUCCUUUACCUACAGUACAAGAUGCACAUGAAGCAGGAUAUUUAAUUUGCUAUUUAAUAAACAAAAACAUUAUCUGUAGCAACAAGUAUUGCUAGAGGAUGAAAUUUCACUCGCGCAGCAUAUCCAAGACAAAAUAAAAAUUUCCCCAAGCAAGAAUGAUCUCCGAAAAUGAUACAUAGAUGGCACUGCUAGUUUAACGAGGACACCGAAGACAUCACAGACGGUUGGUGAGUUACGAAUUGUGUAUUCCGACUUCCUUGUUUUAGAUAUUCAGGGUCCAACAAAGAUCUCAUUUGAUGGGCAUGGCUAACUAACGUUGAUAAAUCUUAUUGGCGAUUCCUUGUGGAUUUUUUGCAAGUAAUUGAACGGUGAGGCAAUUUAAUGGUGAUUACCAGUGGAUUUUUGCAAGUAAUCUUGCACGGCGAGGCAACCUACUGGUAAUUCCCAGUGGAUUUUUGCAACUACUUAAUGGUUACCUAUGUACAAUUGGCACAAAACGUGCCAGACUUUUGAAGUGGCGGUACAAUUGAUCCAAGUACAGUGUAGUCACCAUGAAAGUUGGAAGCUAAAAAUGAAGCCUUUGAGAAAAUUAAUUCUGAAAAAGUAAAAAAUGAAAGAAUAUUCCAAACUUUUGACAAGAAAGGUGAUAAAGAAUUUUUCUACCUUGAAAAGUAGCAGAUCAUUGUACUAUGGCAAUGUUCCUGUAAUGAAGGAAGAGUGAGGAGGAUCCAAAAAGAGCAGCUAAAUGGAGAAGAGGCCAUACCGUGUCAUUUUUUUAGUCUACUUUUUCUACUUGAGUGCUACUUAAAUUUAAAAAUUGAACAGUUGGCUGAAUUAAGAAUAUUUCUUCUCGGCUUCGUGCCCUUUCAUCAUUUAUGUUGAAUAGUUUGAUGGAUAUUAUCCAAAUUUUCAUACCUUUUCCCUCAUAAUUGAGUGGUUCUUCACUUAUAGCCUUACUCGUUCCUCAGCUUGCUUUUAGGUUGGGUCUUGCAAUGUCUUAUGAAGUUUCUUGAGUUUCACGCCAACUCUCUUUCUUUCAGCUUGCUGAGGAGGAGUACCGGUUUCAUUUUCACUUUCUCGCCUUCUCUCAAUCUUUCAGCUUCGUUAUAUCCAGUUUAACACUAGUUUCUUUACUUUCAUGCCGCCACUCUUUCUUUCAGCUAGCCAUGUUGGGUGUUCCAGUUUCUUCUUUACUUUCAUGCCUCCUCCCGUUCUUUCAGCGUGCUUAAGUUGAGUGUUCCAGUUCCUUCACUUUCACGCCUCUCUCGUUCUCUCUGCUCCUUAACUUUUCAAUUAGCAAGCUGAAACAAAGAUGAAUGAAUUUGUUUUUACUAUAAACAUCCUGCAAUUAACCAGUAUAACGUAUACCGAAGCACAAAUUAUUUGGCAAACGAAGGGAGAUGGACAAUUUUAACAUACGGUCCAUGUGUAAAAAAUAUUAAAGGGACACAUUUCCGAAUGAACAUCUGUUAAUAUUUAUUAUUUGAACGCCAUAAAAGUCGAAAAGCUGGUCUGCUUACUUUUGCAAUGUGGUAACCUGAAAGAAAAAAAUAUAAGUCGAACAAAAUCCUCGAUGAAAUUGUUACUUUACCUUUAUAAAUGUUUAUCUACUCUAGCUAAGCCACCAAUUUUACAAAUAAAUUAUGAAAUUAUGAAAAUUCUUCCUAGUGUCUUACAAGUUAUUAUUAGAAGCAUUUUAAUUACCCUCCUUGCAAGUAUUAUUAGCAUUUUAAGUCUGUACAAAAAUUAACUCGCCAGUACCCUUAACAUCGAUAAAAUU